UUUAUAGAACUUUUUCACGGCAGACAUGUUGACAUGUCAUAGUAGGAAAUGCACAGGUAUUCAAAACCAUUAUUGAUGGCUGGAUUCCACUUAGGAGAGGCCCUGGUGUUAAACCAUUAAUCAU